AGACACAGUGAAGAAAUCAGUAACUUUUUCUGGUCUUUCUUUUCAAUGAGGUGAGGCUUGCCUGGUUUAAAUUGUCUGCUGCUUUUUGUUACACCUCUGGCUGCAGCAGGUGGGUCGAGCUUCUGGUGCCCAGCAGACCCGAGGCAGCUCGGGCGGCAGUAUCUGCACGGUGGAAGAGCUGCUCUGACGGUCGAAUCCGCAGGACAAAGGUGGAGUUGAGCAAAGGAGUCCUGCAUUCCUGUCAUCUCGUUCCCCUAUCCCUCCCUCCUCUUGCCUACGUGUCCACCGGGAAGUGAGGGCGAGGGUGUGGGAGUCGGGGUCUGGCGAGCGGAGCCAGCGCUGGAUGUGCCACUGGAUGUGCCACUGGAUGGCAGCAUUGACUAUGUGUUGGACCGGGCGGCACUGCCGGGGCCGGGCUGGGCUCUGGUUCAGCCUCGCUAAACAUCAGCCGGGUAAAAGAUUGAUUGCAAUGCAAAUGUAUUUAUAACCACUAGAGAUAGUCACCUUCCACCCCAAUUAGCCUUUGAAUUGAUUUAGUGAGAAAAACAUCUAUUAUGGAAUAAAAGUCUUAGAGAUUAGUGUUGCAUUAUUUCACUACAUUUGAAAUAGCUGUAGGUAAGAGGGUCUUACAGGCAUCAAUAAGCUUUAAUACUAUAAAGUGCUUUUAGGCUACAUCAGAAGCAAAUUACAAGUCGAAGGUUUGUUUGCUGAAUAAAAUAUAACUACAGGUAUGUUGGGUACGCUGGGACUUUGUGGUAUUUACAAAAUCUAGCUUAUAAAGUUUUUCUUUUCAUUCUUUUAUUUUUUAAAAGGGAUUAGUUCACUGGUUACAAAAAUGUGCUUCUUUCUGCAAGCUAACAGAAAUCAGUUAUGUUUUGAAGUUGUCUGAUUUUUUUUCUAUUUUCUGUUCUUUCCAAAGAGCCUGGAGUGAGAGGAAUGGUGGUGGCUCUUUCUCUGGAAUAUGAAUCUUAGGUACACCAUGAUGUCUGACUAGUAUUGCUAGGAAAGAAUCCAGGAAAGAAGAGAGUUCUCUACUUGAAAUUAUAGUAAGGAGCUGGUCUGGUUUAAUGCUUCUAAUUAAAAGACCUAAUUUAUAUCACAUUGAGUUUCAGUUACAGGUGAGAAAUGUUAUUUCUUUGAAAGGCAAAAUUUCCCUGACAUUUUAUAAUAUUGCACUGUUUUUGCUGCUUUGAUGUAAAUUAGCUUCCUUUCUAAGGAAUACAAUGUGAACAAACAACCUUUGAAAACAGAACUGGAGCUGUAGCUGGAUGCUUCCCAAUUCAGAUUCUGCACCUCUCACCCUCCCCCCUUCCCACUGUAAAAUCUGUGCAAGUCUUUGCUUUCUAUUUAUGUAUUCAUUUGUGUUUAUAUAAAGGAUGAAGCUUAAUGAAGUCUGUGCAGUCACAGCAGGAUCAACCACUGUGAGAUCAGAUGUGGCCCUGUGCUGUGUGUGAGAGCAAGACCUUUGAGCUAUACAGUUUGAAUAUUUAUGAAAUGGUUUCAGCAAUUAAUGAUAUGAAGACAGGAGUACAACACUGAGGAACCUACCCUGAUUGAGCUUUGUCUUGUGCCCUGAUUGGCAAUCUCAGAUGUUCUAAGAGGAUCUGCACAGACAGCUGAAUAUGGGAUCUGUGCCCUUUAUAUAACUGUGGAAAUGAAACGGAAUAGACUUGGACCUAUUGUUGGAAGGCAUUGCUAAUCCUUCUUUAAAUGAGGGCAAGCUGUCAGCUGUUCUCAGGGAUGUGAUGGUUCAGCCUCUCAAGAGAAUUUAGGAAACAAUACAUGUGGAGUCGCCAGCCUGAGUGGGAGAACAGGUGAUCAAACCAUAUAAGAAGAAUGGACUUGAAAACAACAAUACAGAGGUGCUUCCAAUUUGUGGAAAUGUAGAAUUUGUUUCCAUAGUAACUUUCAGACUUCAAGGCUUGUGGGAAGAAGACUGGUCACAAGUCCUUCAGAAGUCUGCUCCAGCACACCUUCCCACAGGUUCACAGCCUGCUUUCAAGCAUCCACCUGUUCUGAAGUGGGGUCAUCCCCGUGCUGCAGGUGGAUCUCCACUCUCCCAUGGACCUCCAUGGACUGCAGGGGCACAGCUGCCUCACCAUGGUCUGUACCACAGGCUGCAGGGGAAUCUCUGCUCCAACAUCUGGAGUACCUUCUCUCCCUCUGUGGCACUUUGUGAUAUGUUUGAGUAGGCAUGGGGGUAUGAGGUUGAUGAUGGAGGUAUUUUCCAACCUUAAUGGUUCUAUGAUUCACUUGGUGUCUGCAGAGCUGUUGCUUCCUCACUCUUCUCUUCUUUGGCUGCAAUUGUUUCUGCACAAAAAUUCUUCCUCUUCUUAAAUCUGUUCUCCUAGAGGUGCUACCACAGUCACUGAUGGGCUUAUCCUUGUCCAGCGGUGGGGCUGUCUUGGACCUGCCUGGCAUUAGCUAUAUUGGACUUGGGGGAAGCUUCUGGCAGCUUCUAAGCCACGCCUGUAUCUCACCUGUUACUGAAAUAUUGCUGUAUAAAUCCAAUACAUAUGUGCUUGAAAAUGGGAUACUUCUUUUUCUCAUCUUUGCCAGUUUAGAGAUUAUAUUGAGACACUUUGGUCAUCUUCUUUCUUUUGAUAAUUUUUGUUGGUGUUACCUUGCUUCCUUUGCAGCUUAAAUAUGUGAUCUAUGUUGCUUAACUGUUCCUCAGAUAGCGCUAUUCUUGAGACUUCCUUCUCCAAAAUAUAUUAUUGGAAUUUUGACUGGGGUAGCAUUAGUUUUUUUCACAGGGCAUAGUGUAGGGUUCUGUGUAUGGGGUUUAGUUGGCAGCUGGACUUAAAACAGAAUGAAUAUAUCAAAUAUUUUAAAAACACCUGAACAUGUAGUACUAUGUGCAUAUUUUGAAACCUGAAAACAUGAACUGAACACCUUUUUUUUUUUAGUGUCCAUGUAAUGCAGUUGGAACAUGUUUCUUAGGUAUGCAGUUAUGGUCAUGCUGCUGCUCAUAAAUGAAAUUUUGAAAUAUAAUGCCUGAUUCUGAAUUAAAAGUCAGGGCUGGCUAACUAAAUAAAUAAUUUUACCCCUUCAAGUAAUGGUAGCAGAGGUUGUAUCUUAGAGUGGGUGCCAGGCUAGGUACUUUGAGCACUCUAACAAACUAGAAAGCCAAGAAUAGAUGAGCAAAAAAGUUAAUAGCCAUACUUUUUCAGCACUUCAUUAUGUACAUAUCUGACUGUUAAAAGACCUAGAAGGUAAAAGGAAGACAGCUGUUUGUCAGUUCCCUUCAUUCCCACCAAAAAAUUGGUCCGUUUCAAGCAAAUUUGAACCCAAAAGUUAGACUUCUCAAUGAUAACUAAAUUCUUUCAAAAUCCAUGAAAAUCAAUGAAAAGAGAGCAGUGACGGGAACAGCAGGAAGAGUUCAAACAUUACCCUUUCGUGGGUACCAGCUUCAGCAAGCACAUGAUCCUCCCUAGUGAAGGGGUAGGGACUGGAAGGAAGAUCAGCUUUAUUGUUGGUAAAGAAAGAUCAGAGAAAACUGUAGGAAAAAGUCUCAAAAAUUUCUACAGGGCUUCUUGUUGUUUUCAGAUAAGGCUAAACAAUCAACGUUUGAAAAUUCUCUCCUGACAAAAUUGUCACAUGUGAGUAGUGUAUCCAUCUGUACACUUUUUGCUGUGUCCCCUCAAAUCAAUCCAGUAUUUGGCACUUUAAAUUUGUAGUGUUCCCAGGAAAUACUUUCUUUGUACUUUAUCAUUUGCAUCUAUAUCUGAGGUAUUUGCAUCAACAUUUUCACUAAGGAGCCAUCUCUUGUUUUGUCUGCAUUUCAAUCUGGUUGAAAGAGAAUGCCGUCUAAUCUGAAGGUUCUAUGCUCUAUUAUGUUUUAAAGUGUUUUGAUACCAUACCUGAUAUAUGCAGAUGCAUACCAACAAGAAGUCUCUGCAAGUAAUUUCACAUUCUUUUAGAGACAGAAGCUGGAAUAAAGACUGUGUCCUGGAUGGACAGACUAAAGAGUAGAGUCAGCAUUUAGGAAUUCACAGGCAGGUAAAGCACCUCUCCAGAAAAGAAAUCAAAAUAUAUCCAUAAAUCUAACUGUCUUGGUGCACAGUCAUGAUUUCAACUUGGUUUUGAAUGUUUAAAUAAUGGAAAGUUCUUGAAUAUUUUAAAGUAUGGUCACAGGUAGUGAAGAGAAGUUAUAGAAGAUAUUAGGUAUGGAAGUGCUGUAUACUGAUAUGAAAUGUAAUAAAUCUUUAAUUGGUUGGGGUUAUUUGGUGAAAAUCAGAAACAUUAAUGAUGUUUUUUCAAGUUCUGUUCAAAUUCUUUAGCCUUGAGAAACAGUUAUUAUUGUAAAUAUGUGAUUUGCUGUCCUCAUUGCUGUUUGGGUAGCUUUUCAUUGUUUGUCACUCUUGUGUAUCAUAAACAUGGGUAUUAAUUUUAAAGGAAAGGGAAUGGAGAUAAUUCACCAUUAUAGUCUAGAUAUUGUGUUGACAUCAGUAGGUCUCUGAACAGGGUCUCUGAAUUUUCAGGUCUCUCCUGAUCCAGUGUUAUUACUUCACUACUCCUUUCUUCUUUUUUACUCACCUCAAUAAAACAUUAACUUUUAAGGCACUAGUUUUCAUUUUACUGUUCAAGUAGUUGGAAAAAGCCCCUAAAAGAAAUGAAUGGUUAACUAUUGUAACAAUAAAGUAACAGUCAGACUUGGUUUCUUUGUGACAUUUGCUUAGCUCAAAAGCAAAAAUACAUUUGCAAUUAAGAGAAAGAAGUCUGUGAAAGAGAUGGCUACUUACAGAGGCUUCCAACUUAGUUUCUCAUCACUGAAUAGUAUUAUUUUGUGGUUGUAAACAAUGCUGUUGGAUAAUGAUUUUUCAGGUGGAUAGUCAUAUAUUAAUUUUUUGAACACUAAAGGGAAAGUAAAAGGUAAACAUUGGUUCCACAGGGUUGUUUGGUUUUUGUUUGGUUGGUUGGUUGGUUUGGUUUUAUUUUUUAUUUGUUUGUUUGGGGGUUUUUUUGUGGUUGGGUUUUUUUGUGCUGAUGUUCUAUUUUUUUUAAUGUGUUAUAUUUCUGGGACGAAGGAGGUUUCAAGAAAAGUAGUAGAUUCUUUCAAAUUGAAAAAUAUGAAAUGUGGUAAGAGUUUCUGGGGACCCAACUGUGAAUAAUCAGUAGUAGGAGCUUUGCCUGUCCGUAAGACCCAGAUUCGCUUCCCUGUAAGAGUCUAUUUAUCCUUGGGGUGUAAAAGAAGAAAAUGUUGACAGCAGUGCUUAAAUCAGUGUGGUGUUUUUUACAGCAGGCAUUUUUUUUUGCUUUGCAGAGGCGUAAUGGUCAUGCUGUUGUAUGGGUUUUUUGUUCUUGUCAUAUAUUAGAUUUUCCAGGUGAAUAGGACUUCAGGCACUGAAUUAACACAACAUUUGUCCAAGAGGUUAUGUAAGUUGGAAUCUUCAUUGAACAAUUGCAAAAUAAACUCACUUUCUCAAUAAAAGCUAGCUACCAGUAAACACUUCCAUGCAAUUGUUGCACAAACAGUAAUGAUCAUGCUGUCCAAGUUUAUGUCAUGUUGGUGGCAGAUGGCACGUAAUAAACAACCCACUGUUUUGA